AUUCAGAUGAAGAGUCUCAAAUUGGGCAAAAUGUACAUCCUGGAU
rnacentral:hammerhead_ribozyme from 1 species